CGCGCGGCGGCCGGCCUGGCGGGGCGCGCGCCGGGGUAACGGUCAGCGGCGGCGAGCUGCGAGCUCGGGCGAGGAGGUGAGCGCCGGCCACGGGGACGCGAGCUUCUCGGAGAUGAUGAGAUUGAAGCACAGUGAAAUUAAGCAAACAGCCUGAUAUGGUGCAGCCAGUCAACAACUAGCCUCACCUCCUGACUCUCUGCAUUAGUGAGGAUGUAAGAAAUGAUGCCACUUGGGACCAGCGCUGUGGCAUAGCAGGUAAAGCCACCACCUGCAGUGCCAGCAUCCCAUAUGGAUGCCGGUUCCAGUCCCGGCUGUUGCACUUCCAAUCCAGUUCUCUGCUAUGGCCUGGAAAAGCAGUAGAAAAUGACCCAAGUCCUUGGGCCCCUGUAUCCACAUUGGAAGACCUGGAGGAAGCUCCUGGCUCCUGGGUUCAGAUCAGCUCAGCUCCGGCUGUUGCAGCCAGUUGGAGAGUGAACCAAGACCUCUCUCUCUCUCUCUGACUCCUUCUCUCUCUAUGUAAUUCUGACUUUCAAAUAAAUAAAUAAAUCUUUUAAAAAAAAAAGAAAAAGGAAAUAAUGCCACCAGUAUUUUCUGUGAAACUGUUGGCAGAAGUAGUAUUUGGAGAGAGAAAGUGUUGCAAAUUCAUUCACCCUUCAUAAUCUUCCUCAACCAUGGAUCAAAUUAAAGAAGAAAAACAAGACAGGGUAAGCAGUUGCAAAUCCAAGAUAAAUGUGUCUCCAUGACAGAAACCCACAAUGGGAGGAAUGACUAAUGCCAGCGAGAGGAGGGUCUUUGGUCUAGAAGCAGGCAGUGCUGGGAAGGAGUGUGGCUUAAAAAAAGAGUGCCAACUGUAGGAAACUGGUACACAGGGGAGGAGGUGCCAGGCUGGCUGUCCACCCAGCCAGCUUGCCUCCCUGGUGCUCUGCAGGUCUCCAUGUCUAGGAAGCCAGUGGAGACUGAGUUGCUGAGACUCCUGAGACUGAUGGAGAGAAUAGACAGGGGGCUGGAUGCUCACGACUAUGGGAGGCUUGUGUGCUGGGACUAUGAAAACUCUGAGACCACGUGGGAGGACUCAGGGUGUGGCUGGACACUGGGCAGUCACUGCAGGAGGCUCCACAUAAUCAGGACUCCCUAGUUACUUGGUGAGAGACAUUGCUGGGGAAUCUGAGCUUAUCCAGAGGACUGUAAGAUCCUUGGUAUGGUCCUUGUGCCAAAGCAGACUAAUGAUAUACUCACUGGGACUAGUGCCAAGGCACUAGUCUCCUUGAAGGAGAGGAGCUCAGCUGAGUCUAUGCCAACAGACAAGAAACCUACCAUAGGGAAAAAAAAAAAAAAAGAGAGAGAGAUUUACCAUGCCAAACCUGGGUGUGUCACCUCAGAUACAACCUUUACCCUGAAGCACUAAACAGAGCUCCCUGGCCACUCCCAUCAUACGUCUCUAGGUAUUCCCUGAAAGCAGACACACCACUAAUCCAAUCAGACAUAGUUCAAAGAUAAAAGCUGCCACAGUGAAAAAUCAAAGAAAUGAAUGAGUACCCUCACAAAUGCUGAAUAACAAAUGCACCAAUCCAAGAAGCAAGAACAAGGAAGACAAUAUGACUCUCCCAGAAGAACACAACACCUGAAUUUCAGAUUGUGAAGAUUAUGAAGUUGAAGAAAUGUGAGAAAUGGAAUUCAAAAAAUUGAUCAUAAGAUUACUUAGAAAUAUCACAAGCAAAUGCAAGAACUAAUGAAAUCCAUACAUGACAAGAAAGAAAAUUUCUCCCAUGAAAUUGAGAUCUUAAGGAGAAAUCAAAAUGAAAUCUUGGGGGGCUGGCACUGCAGUGUAGCAGGUAAAGCCACUGCCUGCAGUGCCGGCAUCCUGAUGAAGCUCUUUGCUGUGGCCUGGAAAAACAGUAGAAGAUGGCCCGAGUCCUUGGGCCCACGCACCUAUGUGGGAGACCUGGAAGAAGCUCCUGGCUCCUGGUUUUGGAUUGGCACAGCUCCGGCUAUUGUGGCCAAUUGGGGAAUGAACCAGCAGAUCAAAGAUCUCUCUCUCUCUCUCUCUCUCUCUCUCUCUCUCUCUCUCUGCCUCUCCUCUUUCUCUGUGUUACCCUGACUUUCAAAUAAAUAAAUAAAUAAAUCUUUAAAAAAAUGAAAUCUUGGAAAUGAAGAAUUCAAUGGAACAGAUAAAAAAAUACAAUGGAGAGCCUCAACAACAGAAUCAGUAAAGCAGAAGAAAGAAUAUCCGACUUUGAAGACAAAGUACAGGAAAUUAUACAGUCAGACCAAACACAAGAAGAAGAAAUUAGAAAUCUAAAAAACACUGUUAAGAAUCCACAGGAUAUUAUCAAACAACCCAACAUAUGUGUUCUAGAAGUUCCUGAAGAUGUAGAAAGAAAGGAUUAGAAAGCCUUUUUAAUGAAAUAAUAACAGAAAAUUUCUCCAAUUUGGAGAAAGAAAGGCGCACCCAAGUACAGGAAGCACAUAGAACUCCUAAUAGACAUGGCAAGGAAAGAUCUUCACCACAACACAUUGUAUUCAAACUCUCUACAAUAAAACAUAAAAGAUUCUAAAAUGUGCAUGAGAGAAACACCAGAUUACUUUCAGAGGAUCUGCAAUUAGACUCACAGUGGACUUCUCAUCAGAAACUCUACAGGAUAAGAGAGAAUGGUGAGAUAUACUCCAAGUCUUAAGAGAAAAAAACUGUCAACCCAGAAUAAUGCACGUGCAAGCUCUCAUUAAUGAAGGAAGGUGAAUUAAAGACCUUCCGUGACAAACAGAAAUUGAAAGAAUUUGUCACUAGCCAUCCAGCCCUGCAGAAGAUGCUUAAAGAUGUGCUGCACACAGAAGCACAAAAACAUAGUCAUCAUUACAGAAGAAGAUAAAGGAAGGAAAGCUUCCAGUAAAAGUACAAAGGAAAUCCAAAGUAAAAAAUAGGAAUAUAUUUGGAAAAAUGGCAGGGCAAAGUCAUUACUUACUAAUUAUCACCUUGAAUGUAAAUGGCCUUAACUCUCCAGGUAAAAAACACAGACUGGCAGAAUGGAUUGAAAAAUGAAAUCCAUCUAUUUUGCUGCAUACAAGAAAUACAUCUCGACAACAAAGAUGUACACAGACUGAAAGUGAAAUGAUGAAAAAAGAUAUUCCAUGCCAACAGAAACCAAAAAAGAGUUGGUGUAGCCAUCCUAAUAUCAGACAAAAUAGACUUUCUCACAAAACUGUUGAAAGAGACAAAGAAGGGCACUAUGUAACAAUUAAGGGAUCAAUUCAAGAGGAAGAUGUGACUAUUAUAAAUGUAUAUGCACCUAAUUACAUGGCACCUGGCUAUUUAAAAGAAAUAUUAAGGGAGAUGUAGUCUCACAUACAAUAGUAAUGGGGAGAUUUCAAUACCCCACUUUCAGCAAUGGACAGAUCAAGCAGACAGAAAAUCAACAAGGAAAAACAAGCCAAAAUUGACAAAUGGGAUUACAUCAAACUGAGAAGCUUCUUUACUGCAAAAGAAACACUCAGCAAAGUGAAGAGGCAACUUACAGAAUCAGAGAAAUUAUUUGUAAACAAUGCAACUGAUAAAGGAUUAAUUACCAGAACAUACAAAGAGAUCAAGAAACUCCACAACAACAAAAUAAACAAUCCAGUUAAGAAAUGGGCCAAGGAGUUAAACAGACAUUUUUUGAAAGAGGAAAUCAAAAUGGCCAACAGACACGUGAAAAAAUGCUCAGGAUCACUAGCCAUCAGGGAAAUGCAAAUCAAAACCACGAUGAGAUUUCACCUCACUCCAGUUAGAAUGUCUUUCAUACAGAAAUCAACAGACAAAAAUGCUGGUGAGGAUGAGGGGAAAAAGGUACCCUAAUACACUGUUGGUGGGAAUGUAAACUGGUAAAAACCACUAGGAAGACAGUGCAGAGAUACCUCAGAAAUCUGAAUAUAGACCUACCAUAUGACCCAGCCAUCCCACAACCAGGAAUUUACCCAAGGGAAAUGAAAUCAGAAAAUAAAAGAGUUAUGUGUACCCCCAUGUUUAUUGCAACUUAAUUCACAAUAGCUAAGACUUGGAAUCAACCUAAAUACUCAUCAACUGAAGACUGGAUAAAUAAAUUAUGGGAUAUGUACCCUAUGGAAUACUAUACAGCAGUAAAAAAGAAGUCUAGUCAUUUACAACAAAAUGAAUGAAUCUAGAAAACAUCAUACUUAUUGAAAUAAGCCAGUCCCAAUGGAACAAAUACCAUAUGGUUUCCCUGAUCUGUGAUAACUAAUAAAGCAGCCAAAAUGAAAUCUGUAUAUCUGAAAUUGACACUUUGAGAAGCAAUGCUUGAACAGCCCUUGUCUUGACUGUCAAGGAACAGUUUGUUUUUUUUUUUUCUUAAUAGAGAAUGGGACUGGGAAUGGGAGAGGGAGAAGGAGAUUGGGUAAGAGUGGGGAUGGGAGAGUGGGUAUGAUGGAAAGAAUCACUAUAUUCCUAAAACUGUACUUAUGAAAUUUGUACUUAUUAAAUAAACAGUAUCUUUGGGGAAAAAAAAGAAAAUCAAUUCCCCAAAAUGGUCACAGGUUUUAUCUGGGCUCUCACUCUAUAAACUUGUUUACAUGUCUGUCUUUAUGCCAUUAAUAUACUGGUUUAAUUACAAUAGCUUUUUAGGAGAUUUUGAAGUAAAGAAGUGUGAGACCUCCAAUUUUGUUCUUUUUUAAGAUUCUAUUUUUUACAUCUUUUUUUAAACAAAUAUUUAUUUAUUUAUUUGAAAGGCAGCAUCAGAGAGAGAGAGAGAGAGAAUCCAUCUUCCAUCCUCUGGUUCACUCCCCAAAAGGCUGCAACAGCCAGAGCUGAGCCUAUCUGAAGCCAGGAGCUAGGAGCUUCUUCUGGGUCUUUCACAUGGGUGCAGGGGCACAAGCACUUGGAUCAUCUUCUGCUGCUUUCUCAGGCACAUUAGCAUGGAGCUAGAUCAAAAGUGGAGCAGCUGGGACUCAAAAGUAUCACUCAUAUGGAAUGGCUAAACCUACUACACCACAGUGCCAACCCCUACUCUGACUAUUAAGAAUCCCAGGAAACUCAUAUGAAUUUUAAAUGGAUUUUUCUAUUUCUACAAAAAACGCCAUUAAAAUUUUGAUAAGGUAGGCGCUGUGGCAUAGUGGGUAAAGGUGCCGCCUGCACCAGUUCGAGUCCCAGCUGUUCCACUUCCUUUUUCUUUCCUUCCUUCC